AUUGAGCAUUUUAUUCAAUCGACGAAUAUGGAGAAAAUAAAUGUAAUACAUGUGCCUACACAAUUAUUCUAUAUUUUAAUACUACAAAAUUUGUGAAAAGAGUCUAAUAUUUAUGGGGUAUAUGUUACAUCCUAAAAAUACCACAAAUAUGAAAACAAUAUAAAAAAUAAUGUGAAAUAAAGAAAAUAAUAUUUUUUUUCAAUAAAACCGCAUGUAAUAAAUGAGAAAAAAAAAAUUCCCCGAAAAAAAUUCAACCUAAUUUGAGUAAAAAGAAAAUCCAACACUGUCGACGUACAGUCAUCUUUAUAUGGAUGAUCUCUUGAUCCCUUCAACUAUUGUGAAGAUGCUUCAACAUGUUGAGGUUGAUACCUUCGGAAACUUACUGCAACAAAUUAUGAUACUUCGCCUUGAAAGUGACGCUCAGGGGUGAAGUUCCAUUGCUUUGGAGAUUGGAUUAGGUGCCUCAAUUGCAUCGCACUGCUAUCUAAUGAAUUAGGAGAAAACUUUUGAAGGACAAGGUGACGUGAAAUGUGAAUCUUGCGUGACAUCUUACUUUUAUUUAAUUGUUGUCACAACAUGUCUUGUAGGAUAAGUCAUAACAAUUCUCUUAUAAUAAAUUAUUUUUAAAAACAUAUAAAUAAUUAUACACUCAAAGAAC
rnacentral:lncRNA from 1 species